GGUGCUAUAGUGUAGUGGCUAUCACAACAGAUUCUGACUUGCUAACACCACUUUCCAUUAACCCAGGUUCAAACCCUGGUAGUGCCU